GACCCACGACCGGCUGGUCACUUGCUGCCACCUCGCAAAGGCGCAUCUCUAGUUCAGUGGUGAGCUGCGGCCCGGUCGCUGCAACUCGCUCCAGGCCUCCGGAUUCGUGGCCUCGGUGUCCCUCGCGGAGCCCUCGGUGUGUCGCUUGCAGGCUCUUUUUUUGAAGAAAGCAGGGAGGGAAUGGCCUUGUGAGAGACUCCAGGAGCAAAGAGCGACCCUCACAAGGCCCAAGUCCUCCCAGAGCUCAGGGAAGCUGUCGCUUCUGACAGAAGAAGGGAGACAAAGCUCCCUCCUGUGUGUCCCUGGUGGUCUAGUGGCUAGGAUUCGGCGCUUUCACCGCCGCGGCCCGGGUUCGAUUCCCGGCCAGGGAAUUGUUUUACACUGGCCGCCCUCCCGCAGGAAUCUUCCUUCACUACGCUGUCAGCCGGCCUGCUCCAAGGGCCAGAAGCAGAACAGUCUCCGCAGCGGGGUUAAAGCCGGGCGAAGGAGGGCAAGCGCUGGUGGACCACCUCUCACGACACACCGUUCCUGUUUAUCUCCGUGUCCGUCAUCCGCCGAAGCAGCUUUAGAGAGCGACUGAGCGUCUCGCUCCGGUGUACACAGCCCGGCAGAGAUGCCAGCCCCCGUGGAGCUGCACCCAAUAAGCCCACCUUCUUUCCCGUCGCCACCCCGGAGACGCCCAUCGGGCUGAGCUGCGAAUAACUAAGAGAGAGGCCAAGCCAAGUCGUGGCGUUUGUGGCAACCCCGGACACGGGCACCAGCCAGUCAGCGGAGCCUCCUCACCUCCGUUGCCAGCGAAGGCGCUCGUUAGGCCUUGGGAAGAGGCGACCGGAGGCGAUGCCCGCGAAUUUGUUAGGGGGGUAAGCGGCGGGUGAGGUCCUCGAGGGCGGUCCCGUUUGCUGAUUGAGCGGUAGAGGGAGGCGAUGUUCGCUGACCCAACAAGGACAGCAGGUGGAGUAGGCACAGAUGGAAAACUGCUGCCGGUGCCCUAAGCAGAAGGCAGGUGGAAAAAUCAGCACUAGGACGUCGAAGCGAUGGUACCACAGUCAAAUCCCACGACGUCUACACUCUACCAAGCACUUGCGCACGCUCCCCCUUUUCCAUUCAGUACUCCCAAGAGGGGUUCGGAAGAACCCCGAGUCCACUGUAAGCUCAGGGGAGAGCGGGAGCCAGGGAGGUGAAGUGCGCAGACUCGGCAGAGGCGGCGGGCAGAACCGCGGGGGGGGGAGAGACCGUGGUCACGAAGGGGGUUCUCCCAGAGUGAAGCUUCUUCAUCGCACUCUAGAGUUGCUGAUCCCUGUGAUUUCCUCCAUGUGGGAAACGGUGUUUGUGCUAGAAGAGGCUGCGCUCUUUACCUGACAUAACGGGGUUCAAGACUGACAACGCCUCACGCCCACCCGAAAACGUUUACAUGGCUUCCUUGUCUCUUUUUUUUUCUGUCCUAAAGUCGCCUCAUCUUCACAUCCCCUCUUUUUUUUCUUCCACACUCGAGAGUGUCUCUCUCUCUCAGUAAAAGCUCCACCAAAUAUUUGAAAUAUCUCAACCA
ensembl:lncRNA novel transcript